CCGACCACUGACCAAACUCCAAAUGAAACAACAGCCUAUUUAUACUUUCUCAGACUCACUGUUGUGCUUAUUCUCACUCUGUACCAUUGGUGUGACCUAUUGAGGAGCAGAGAAACAUACUGCCUGGUAAUCCGCCUCUUGGAAGCUGGGAUCUGGCACGUUUCAUCGAAAGCAUUGCAGGGAAAAAAUAUAUAGAACUGAGAAACUGUGCAAGGCAAGGCUCAUCACUCUAAAGAUACUAAUGGUGAAAUAGCUCGAUUGGGAAAUCCAAGUGAGGGGUCAAGGCCCAAAUAAUAGAACAUCUAUGAGAUAGCUGAGAAUAAGAAAACAAGAGAAUGACAUGUCAAAAAUUUCAGGUCACCAUCAGUCUUGAAGUUGGGACUCCCAUUUAUGGGACUCUAAGAGACGACUUUCUAAGUGAUGCUGCCUGACCUACUGAACAUUUCCAUCACCUCCUGUUUUUGUUUGUGGAAACUUAACUGUUGGAUAUAUCCAAUGAGAAUUUAAGCGUAUGAUGUCUAAGAAUUCCUGUGCAUAGAAAGAUUGUCAUUGUUACUUUUACAGGACUAACCCAAUUCACAUUAUGAAGAAGGGUCUGAAGAAGGGUUCCAAUCAAAAUGUCACCUAUCCAUUUUCUCCAGAGAUGCUGCCUGACAUGCUGAGUUACUCCAACUCUUUUCUUUUUUGUUAAACUAGCAUUUGCAGUUCCUUGUUUCUACCAGUCACAUUAUUGUCUGCCUCAGCACUACAACUAUUGGCUAUGUUUCCAAAAAGCAAAAUACUUUCAGAUUUUACAAGUACGUUGACGGCUGAGAAUUUGUUAGAUGAAGAUAAAAGUAAUCGCAAAUGAAAUUUGACUUUGGAAUACCAAUAAAUACAAAAAAUAAAUACCAAAAAAACUAGUGUAUGGGUGAUCGCUGGUCGGCACGGACUCGGUGGGCUAAAGGGCCUGUUUCCACGGCUGUACCAUGGAAACAGAACAGAUAAAUUCUUAGUUGCUGCAGCAUUAGAGGCCAGUUAUCGUAGUAACAUAACAAAUGAAUAUACAAUAAUCAAGUCGGAAGACAUCUCACUCUGAAGAAGGCCUCGACCCGAAACAUCACCUAUUCCUUUUCUCCAGAGAUGCAGCCUGACCCACUGAGUUACUCCAGCAUUUUGUGUCUAUCUUCCAUGUACAAUAAUCAACGAUACAAUACAUUAAUGAUCAGCAAUACUAGAUAAUCAGACCGUAAUAGUGCAAAACUAAAGUACGUAGUGCAACCAAAAAGUCAAUAGUAGAUCGUUGUUGAAGUAGGGUUGUGGUUAGGAGUGUGCAGGUUGGAUGUUGGGAAGAAGUUACUUUUGAACAUGGAGGUCACAAUUUGUGGGUUCCUGUAGCAGCGAGAUGAGAGCGUGGCCUGGAUGGUGUGAGAUGAUAUUAGGCUGAUCUUAUAGGGUGGAGUUUGUAUUUAAAGGGAUGGAUCAAUUUUGAUGGUUUUAGAAUGGAGCACCUUUAUUGGUUAAUCUUUAAACGAAAGAUAACAUGUACUUCUUUGUUUUUCAUUAUAGUUUAGUUUAGGUUAGAGAAACAGCGUGGAAACAGGCCAUUCGGCCCACCAAGUCUGCACAGACCAGCAAUCCCCCCACAUUAACAAGGGACAAUUUACACACUUAAAUCAAGAUUGAAGAAUCAAGUGAGUUUAUUGUCAUGCGUCACAGAUAGGACAAUGAAAUGCUUGCUUUGCUUCAGCACAACAGAAUAUAGUAGGCAUAAAUAAAUCAGCCAAUUAACCUACAAACAAUCUGGUAUUUAAAUAUUUUUAAAUGAAGAUUUAAAUAAUAAUGGGAUGAUUAGGCUAAUUUUACUUAUUUUAGCUCUUCGUCUGAUUAGGAUUAGAUGCGAAUGUGGGUAUGUCAGUUAUUGGAUAUUUACUUUCUGGGAGACUAGGAAUAGGAAUAGGUAUACUUUAUUGUCACAUGUGACUAGGCUCCGUGAAAUUCUUUGCCUGCAUACACAAUUAUUCAACUGGUUUGUCACAGGUGAUUCAAAUAGAACACAACUGUAAAUGCUAUAUCCAAAUAUGCCAAGAUGAUGGAGCAACACAUAUUUGUACUUAUGAGUCAUUGUUCCACAGUGUUUUACGUAUUUGGCCGCGUACUACGUUAAAGAAUAAUCUUUUUACAAUUCAUAUUGAAUUCAUUAUAAUUCUUGAAAUAAAUCUAUUAUCCAUUUUGACUGCGGAACACUCAUUAGAGUCAUAGAGUGAUACAGCGUGGAAACAGGUACUUCAGCCCAACUUGCCCACACCAGCCAACUUUUC